ACCCAGCUGAUGAGUCUCAAACAGGGCGAAACGCGCGUCCUGGAU
rnacentral:hammerhead_ribozyme from 1 species